rnacentral:rRNA from 1 species
UGCUGGCAGUUGCGUCUUAAGCAUGCAAGUCAAACGGAAUGUAGCAAUACAUUCAGUGGCGAACGGGUGAGUAACGCGUGGAUGAUCUACCUACGAGAUGGGGAUAACUAUUAGAAAUAGUAGCUAAUACCGAAUAAAGUCAAUUAAUGUGUUAAUUGAUGAAAGGAAGCCUUUAAAGCUUCGCUUGUAGAUGAGUCUGCGUCUUAUUAGCUAGUUGGUGGGGUAAAAGCCUACCAAGGCGAUGAUAAGUAACCGGCCUGAGAGGGUGAUCGUCAC